GGGGACGUAGCUCAGCUGGGAGAGCACCUGCUUUGCAAGCAGGGGGUCGUCGGUUCGAACCCGAUCGUCUCCA
rnacentral:tRNA from 1 species